CUAUUUCUAAAUUCAAAAUAAAAAUUUAAUUCCGGUGAAAAAUACUUAUUUACAUGGUCACUUAACGAGUAUUUUCUUCUUAUUUUUAUUUUUUUGGGUAAAAAUGACGAUGACGGUAUUUAUAGCGGACUGUCGUCUGUUGUUGUUCUUACGUACGCAUUGCACGUUGACUGUCAGUGACUGCAUCUUCUUUAAAAUAAAUUUAACAAGAAGAGAAAAAAAAACUCAUUCAUUGGUCGACAAGUGUGUCUAUGGUUCAUUUACAUUUGGUGAUAAAUUGUGAAAAUACUGAAAAAAAAGAUUACACGUUCGAGAUUAUCUAUUUACAUUGAGAUUUUCAUAUUUAUUAAGAACACUCUUUUUGUUAAUAAUAUAUUUUCUUUUUAUAUAUUUUUGUAGGAAAACUUUGCAUUUAAGUUCAAAGUUGUUUAUUCUCUUCAUCCUGAUGAAAAUGUUGUGUGUUUUUAGAAAAUUUAAAUAUUUACACGUAAAUAAAUAAAUUGUUACGGCAAAUUGAAAAUAAUUAAUACGAUUUACGCCAAUGAUUGAUUAGUUGUGAUCACAGAUACAAUUGUACAAGUAGAAAACAUUGUUGCUGCUGUUUGCUCGUACUGUUGCUGAUUUAUGGAACGAGUGCAAGAGUUCUAAAAGUCUUGCGAUUGAAUGAGAGUGUGUCUGAGGUGCAUAAAUAUGUGUUGCAGGAAUGGAAACUUAAAAUUUUCAAUAACUACAAGAUUUGGAGUUCAAUGUACUUAGAAAACAACAAAACCAUUAAAAUAAAAACAAG